AGACAAACAAUAUCCAUACCUCCUUAUACGCACAUAAGAGCGUCUCCAAUAUUUUAAAUAUUGACAUUAUUAAUUCCAAAGGAUUUCAAAUACAAAACUUCAAAGAAUUCCAACUCAUUCAUAAUGAAGGAACAAAUGCUUCACCCAACCUGCAUUGCCUCUUGCAAAGAAAACAUCAAUUAAUCAAGCAAUACCCUUUUUCAUUAAAACAUCUACAGUUGUAUUCUCCCAAAACCCAAAUAAACGACCAAAAGGAAAGGGGGAAUACUUCUUUGGGCACCUUCACCUUCCAAAAUUGCUUUCCAUGGAAAAGAGUUGCAUAAAAAGAUUUAGAAUUAAAAAUCCUCCUACCCCAGCUCUUUUCUACAAUAACAAAAAUAAAU
rnacentral:misc_RNA from 1 species